UACGGAGGGGGCUAGCGUUGUUCGGAAUUACUGGGCGUAAAGGGCGCGUAGGCGGUGCGGUAAGUUAGGCGUGAAAGGCCCGGGCUCAACCCGGGAAUUGCGCUUAAGACUGCCGCGCUGUGAGUCCGGGAGAGGAUGGCGGAAUUCCCAGUGUAGAGGUGAAAUUCGUAGAUAUUGGGAAGAACACCAGUGGCGAAGGCGGCCAUCUGGCCCGGUACUGACGCUGAGGCGCGAAAGCGUGGGGAGCAAACAGG
rnacentral:rRNA from 1 species